AGUUUUUGUCUAAUCGAAGUAGCCUUUCAUCCUGACUACAUGUGUGCUUGUGAAUGAGUAGUCUUGGAUCUUGGCUAUUUGUACGUGUUUGAGUGUUUGUCGUGAUAUUGGAAGCCUCUAAAUCGGCAUGUGCUCCUCUGUUUUACGAUAGCAUGGGAUUCAGUUUUUAUCUGGUGCCUGGUGGUGUUUUGCUUACAGUGUGCAAUCUGAAAGAACGGCUCGGAAGGUGCAAUUGGGACGCCGAAGAGCCCCAUCGACGAUGUUCUCUGCUCAUUUAGGUAUCGGAUCGAAGCUUCCAUAGCUCUUCAAGGAUAUCCAGCAACUUAACCUCCUGGUUUUGGUACCAGGAUGGUUUUUUCUCCUAUUCACAUAUCUGCUUGUGCAUGCAAGAUCAGGUAUUUUUUCGAUCUUCUUGGUACUUCUUCCUCAAGGGAUGGUGGCGUAGGGCAGCGAUGCUUCUUGUGGGCGACGCUAAUGACUUCUGCUUCCUAUGGUUUUAAUUAUGAGUUAGGACCUUGUAAUGGGUUUCGGCAGGAAUAAUUUCCUAAGGCUUUAA
rnacentral:misc_RNA from 1 species